GAUGAACGCUGGCGGCGUGCCUAAUACAUGCAAUUCGAGCGAACGGACGAGAAUCUUGCUUCUCUGAUGUUAGCGGCGGACGGGUGAGUACCACGUGGAUAACCUACCUAUAAGACUGGGAUAACUUCUGGAAACCGGAGCUAAUACCGGAUAAUAUUUUGUACCGCAUGGUUCAAAAGUGAAAGACGUUCUUGCUGUCACUUAUAGAUGGAUCCGCGCUGACUUAGCUAGUUGGUAAGGUAACGGCUUACCAAGGCAACGAUGCAUAGCCGACCUCAGAGGGUGAUCGGCCACACUGGAACUGAGACACUGUCCAGACUCCUACGGGAGGCAGCAGUAGGGAAUCUGCCGCAAUGGGCGAAAGCCUGACGGAGCAACGCAGCGUGAGUGAUGAAGGUCUUCGGAUCGUAAAACUCUGUUAUUAGGGAAGAACAUAUGUGAGAGUAACUGUGCACAUCUUGACGGUACCUAAUCAGAAAGCCACGGCUAACUACGUG
rnacentral:rRNA from 1 species